UACAGAGGGCUCAAGCGUUGUUCGGAUUCAUUGGGCGUAAAGCGCGCGUAGGCGGCUUCGUAAGUCCGUUGUGAAAGUCAAAGGCUCAACCUUUGAAUGCCGAUGGAUACUGCGAAGCUAGAGUACGGAAGAGGCGAGUGGAAUUCCUGGUGUAGCGGUGGAAUGCGCAGAUAUCAGGAGGAACACCAAUAGCGAAGGCAGCUCGCUGGGACGUUACUGACACUAAGGCGCGAAAGCGUGGGGAGCGAACAGG
rnacentral:rRNA from 1 species